GGGUUGUGAGGUUAAGCGACUAAGCGUACACGGUGGAUGCCCUGGCAGUCAGAGGCGAUGAAGGGCGUGCUAAUCUGCGAUAAGCGCCGGUAAGGUGAUAUGAACCGUUAUAACCGGCGAUACCCGAAUGGGGAAACCCAGUGUGACUCGUCACACUAUCAUUAACUGAAUCCAUAGGUUAAUGAGGCGAACCGGGGGAACUGAAACAUCUAAGUACCCCGAGGAAAAGAAAUCAACCGAGAUUCCCCCAGUAGCGGCGAGCGAACGGGGAGGAGCCCAGAGCCUGAAUCAGCAUGUGUGUUAGUGGAAGCGUCUGGAAAGACGCGCGAUACAGGGUGACAGCCCCGUACACAAAAGCGUAUGUGCUGUGAGCUCGAUGAGUAGGGCGGGACACGUGGUAUCCUGUCUGAAUAUGGGGGGACCAUCCUCCAAGGCUAAAUACUCCUGACUGACCGAUAGUGAACCAGUACCGUGAGGGAAAGGCGAAAAGAACCCCGGCGAGGGGAGUGAAAAAGAACCUGAAACCGUGUACGUACAAGCAGUGGGAGCACAGGUUUACCUGUGUGACUGCGUACCUUUUGUAUAAUGGGUCAGCGACUUAUAUUCUGUAGCAAGGUUAACCGAAUAGGGGAGCCGGAGGGAAACCGAGUCUUAACCGGGCGUUAAGUUGCAGGGUAUAGACCCGAAACCCGGUGAUCUAGCCAUGGGCAGGUUGAAGGUUGGGUAACACUAACUGGAGGACCGAACCGACUAAUGUUGAAAAAUUAGCGGAUGACCUGUGGCUGGGGGUGAAAGGCCAAUCAAACCGGGAGAUAGCUGGUUCUCCCCGAAAGCUAUUUAGGUAGCGCCUCGUGAAUUCAUCUCCGGGGGUAGAGCACUGUUUCGGCUAGGGGGUCAUCCCG
rnacentral:rRNA from 2 species